rnacentral:tmRNA from 1 species
GGGGCUGACUUGAAUUUCGACAGGAAUUAAAUGGCUUAAAUUGCAUGCCGACUUGUGCUAAGUCGUAAAACUGGUUCAUAAAUAUAAACGCAAACAACGCAAAUUACGCUCCAGCUUACGCUAAAGCUGCGUAAGUUUAUCUAAGCUUUUUGGAGCUGUUUUUGGUUAAGAUUCUAGCUAUUAGCCAAAAACAUCAUUUCUGCUAGAUGCGUUUUGUGCCACCUUUGCACAAAAUUAAGCUCUUAAGAGGUUGCCUUUUUGUAGUAAAUAGCUAGGUUUUUGCUAUAAAAGGAAAGAUUUUCCACCUAGCAAAAGCAUGUAAUCCAAUUUUUGUUGGUUUGGUUUUUGGACUGGGGUUUGAUUCCCCACAGCUCCACCA